UACAGGGGUGGCAAGCGUUGUUCGGAAUUACUGGGCGUAAAGGGCUCGUAGGUGGCCAACUAAGUCAGACGUGAAAUCCCUCAGCUUAACUGGGGAACUGCGUCUGAUACUGGAUGGCUUGAGUUUGGGAGAGGGAUGCGGAAUUCCAGGUGUAGCGGUGAAAUGCGUAGAUAUCUGGAGGAACACCGGUGGCGAAGGCGGCAUCCUGGACCAACACUGACACUGAGGAGCGAAAGCCAGGGGAGCAAACGGG
rnacentral:rRNA from 1 species